rnacentral:rRNA from 1 species
GAUGAACGCUGGCGGCGUGCCUAAUACAUGCGAGUCGAGCGAACGGACGAGAAGCUUGCUUCUCUGAUGUUAGCGGCGGACGGGUGAGUAACACGUGGAUAACCUACCUAUAAGACUGGGAUAACUUCGGGAAACCGGAGCUAAUACCGGAUAGUAUUUUGAACCGCAUGGUUCAAAAGUGAAAGACGGUCUUGCUGUCACUUAUAGAUGGAUCCGCGCUGCAUUAGCUAGUUGGUAAGGUAACGGCUUACCAAGGCAACGAUGCAUAGCCGACCUGAGAGGGUGAUCGGCCACACUGGAACUGAGACACGGUCCAGACUCCUACGGGAGGCAGCAGUAGGGAAUCUUCCGCAAUGGGCGAAAGCCUGACGGAGCAACGCCGCGUGAGUGAUGAAGGUCCUCGGAUCGUAAAACUCUGUUAUUAGGGAAGAACAUAUGUGUAAGUAACUGUGCACAUCUUGACGGUACCUAAUCAGAAAGCCACGGCUAACUACGUG